CACGUAGGGUGCGAGCGUUUGUCCGGAAUUAUUGGGCGUAAAGAGCUCGUAGGCGGUGUGUCGCGUCGGCCGUGAAAACCUGCAGCUUAACUGUGGGCUUGCGGUCGAUACGGGCAUCACUGGAGUUCGGCAGGGGAGACUGGAAUUCCUGGUGUAGCGGUGAAAUGCGCAGAUAUCAGGAGGAACACCGGUGGCGAAGGCGGGCUCCUGGGACCGAAUAUGACGUGAGGAGCGAAAGCCGGGUGGGCG
rnacentral:rRNA from 1 species